UUCAACACCACGCCGAUUCCAAUAUCUCCUUGGUCUUCUCCCGAAUCGUCUACCUCUGCAAAAAACAACUUUUCUCAAUUUUUUUCAGCUUUCCUCCUUCUCUCCUUACUCACUAUAUAAGACGGUGGUUGAUUCACGAAAAAUUUCUCUCACUAAAACCACCAUAUCUCUUCAUCGCCUCCGGAGAAAACGAGUAGUUAGUAACGGCGUUCGGUUUUGGAUCCAUCACUUUACCUCUGUAUACAGUUUACUGUAAAAAUAAAUUACUUCAUAUUUGAUCUUUGGUUUCGUACCUGGUGAAAGCUCUUGAUCUGGUGUUUAAUUAGGUUGUUGGAGGUUUAAAAGGAGGAGAUGACGCUUUACAGGAGAGGAUUUGUCAUCUAUUUUUUCAGGACCAACGGAAAAUGGGCAAAUUGAUGUUCACUUUCAGGAUCUGCAUAGCGCAAGAACAACGUUCGAGCAGGCCCGGUUUCAUUUGGUCAUCACUUUUUCUUCUUAUGCUAUGAGAAUUUCCAAGAUAUUUCCUUUGCUUCAAUCUGCGAGUCAACAC